AACGAACGCUGGCGGCAGGCUUAACACAUGCAAGUCGAACGCGUGUAGCAAUACACGAGUGGCGCACGGGUGAGUAACGCGUGGAUAUCUGCCUUUUGGUUCGGAAUAACUCCGGGAAACUGGAGCUAAUACCGGAUGGUUCCUACGGGAUAAAGAUUUAUCGCCAAAAGAUGAGUCCGCGUACGAUUAGCUAGUUGGUGAGGUAAUGGCUCACCAAGGCGACGAUCGUUAGCUGGUCUGAGAGGACGAUCAGCCACACUGGGACUGAGACACGACCCAGACUCCUACAAAAGGCAGCAGUAGGGAAUAUUGGACAAUAAAGGCAACCCUGAUCCAGCCAUGCCGCGUGAGUGGUGAAGGCCUUCGGGUUGUAAAGCUCUUUUGGCGGGGACGAUGAUGACGGUACCCGCAGAAUAAGCCCCGGCUAACUUCGUGCCAGCCGCCGCGGUAAUAC
rnacentral:rRNA from 1 species